rnacentral:rRNA from 1 species
GAAUUGACGGGACCCGCACAAGCAGCGGAGCGUGUGGUUUAAUUCGUUGCUACACGAAGAACCUUACCUGGGUUUGACAUAUAGGUUGUAGGGAACUGAAAGGGACCGACCCUUCGGGGAGCCUAUACAGGUGUUGCAUGGCUGUCGUCAGCUCGUGUCGUGAGAUGUUCGGUUAAGUCCGCUAACGAGCGCAACCCUCGUCGUAUGUUAUAUGUGUCAUACGAGACUGCCGGUAAAAGCCGGAGGAAGGUGAGGAUGAUGUCAAGUCAGCAUGACCUUUAUAUCCAGGGCUACACACACGCUACAAUGGUCUGUACAAUGGGUAGCCAAGCCGCGAGGCGGAGCCAAUCCUGAAAGCAGGCCUCAGUUCAGAUUGCAGUCUGCAACUCGACUGCAUGAAGCCGGAGUUGCUAGUAACCGCAGGUCAGCAAUACUGCGGUGAAUACGUUCCCGGGUCUU